AUACGGAGGGUGCAAGCGUUACUCGGAAUCGCAGGGCGUAAAGCGCGCGCAGGCGGGCUGAUAAGUUGGAUGUGAAAGCCUACGGCUCAACCGUAGAACUGCAUCCAAAACUGUCAGUCUAGAGUGUGGGAGAGGAAGUUGGAAUUAGUUGUGUAGGGGUAAAAUCCGUAGAGAUAACUAGGGAUACCAAAAGCGAAGGCAAUCUUCUGGAACACUACUGACGCUGAGGCGCGAAGGCGUGGGGAGCAAACAGGAUUAGAAACCCCGGUAGUCC
rnacentral:rRNA from 1 species